UGAGGAAUAUUGGACAAUGGGCGCGAGCCUGAUCCAGCCAUGCCGCGUGCAGGAAGAAGCAUCUAUGGUGUGUAAACUGCUUUUGUACGGGAAGGAACACUCCUUCGUGAAGGAGCUUGACGGUACCGUAAGAAUAAGGAUCGGCUAACUCCGUGCCAGCAGCCGCGGUAAUACGGAGGAUCCAAGCGUUAUCUGGAAUCAUUGGGUUUAAAGGGUCCGUAGGCGGUUUAGUAAGUCAGUGGUGAAAGCCCAUCGCUCAACGAUGGAACGGCCAUUGAUACUGCUAGACUUGAAUUACAAGGAAGUAACUAGAAUAUGUAGUGUAGCGGUGAAAUGCUUAGAUAUUACAUGGAAUACCAAUUGCGAAGGCAGGUUACUACUUGUGGAUUGACGCUGAUGGACGAAAGCGUGGGGAGCGAACA
rnacentral:rRNA from 1 species